rnacentral:lncRNA from 1 species
AUUGGGAAAGGCGGGUGUUGAGCGGAGAGGAGAGUCCCUCAGGAACUUAGGUGGCAGCGCUCAAGCACGAAAUAGAGAAACAAGGCGGUAAGGCAGCGAUGGCAAAGGGAACUCCGGUAGGACUCUGGCAUGCCCCUUUAUAGCUGCGCGGAAGAGAGAGGGUUGGAGCAGCACGAAGACUGGGAAGAAAAAGAGAUGGAGUGCGCUGCCAUGGCGGCG